CAGGGAGAGGGCAGGAGAGAAGGAAUGGAUGGAGGUAGAAGAAUUUCCACUUAGAACUAUGAAAGCACAUGAGGUGGAGAAGAAGACAUGUGAAAUUAUAUAUUAACAUGGCUGUCCAGAGCAGAUACUGGCAGAUCUAGGUUCGGAAUUGAAUAACGAGAGCAUUCCAGAAGGUGGUGGACAGAACCCAGAGGAAUGGUGAUGAAUUUCCUGGAGCAACUUUCUUUUCUUUGUACUCUAAACCUCACAUGACAAC